UGUUGUUGACCAGGUUUAGUUGCAUUUUAGUGGAGGUUGGGCCAAGGCUGAUCUCCAUGAGUUGGGGAGAAAGAUGUUAACCUGAAAAUGGAUGCAUGGCACGUGGUCAGUAAGUUUGAUUGUUAAUGGUGGUAGCAAAAUUGUAGUUGGAAAAAUCAAGUGUGGGCUUUUUCCUUCUCCCAGAAUAAGAUUUUUCUAUGCCUUUUUUCAAGGCAGAACUGUGAACAGACAAGGAGGAAACAUAAUAAAAUGAAAUGUUUGGCUGUGGGAAAAUGAUUAUUAAUCAGAAAUGUGAAUUUUGUCUUCACUUUUUAUAUUAAUACUUAGAGUUUCUGCUCUUAAAUUGAGAUUGUUUAGCACUUAUGUGUCCCCACUUUCUGCUUAAACCUUGAGGUAGUUUUCUUAUUUCAAGAAUUCUACUGAAAAAUGGUUAGAACUGUCAACUUGUGAGGAACUAUCUGUGAGGGUGUAUUUGAGGACAGGGUUUCUGGUAGUAGCCCAAUGCCCAAUUUCUCCACCAAGACGUCAGUGAUCCUCCCAGCCACUAGAGGUCGCUGGCUCUCCUGGUGAUCUGUUUUGUCAUCUUAGCACCUCCGGGAAUCCUAGCCUUUGAGCACCUGAGGGAACUGGAUAGUCUAGUUUAGAGUUUCUCAUUUGGCAUGCCAGGAACACUUAAUGAGUGAGCACACCAACAAAUUGGAGUUUGUGUGGAAAGUUAGCUUUUCGCUAUAAGUAAGAACACUUCCUGUGUCAACCACACCUGUGGGGUUGUAGAGUGGGGUUUGACCUGCUUCAAGCAAGAGCAAAAAGGAGUCCUUUAGUGCCAGUCACAAGCCUGAGAAAGAGAACACAUUUUACUUGGCCCUGGGAGUUGAGCAGAAUAAAGGGUGGUUAGUUCUGUAAACCGUACCCCUCAAAUGGGACUCAGAGCCCUUGAUCUAGGCCUGGCAUCUGAAAAUGGUUUGCACAUCAGAGAUGUUGGAUUCAUAGGGAGGUGCUGUCUCUCUUGUGAUACUAAAUCCCUGCUUCUUUUCUGUUUGGUGGUGUAGUUUGUAUCAUAGUUCUCUUUGAAACCACAGACACCAUUUAAAACAAGCAAACAGCCCAAUCCCAGGUUAUAUUACUUAGAAAACCAUGUGCUUUCUGGGUAUUGCCUGUCCUGUCAGGCAUGUCCUCUAUUCAUCUUUCUAUGAUCGAGAACUGUCAUUUGAAGAAGCAGUGCUGCAGGUAACAGCGUUCUGGCAGGUGUGGCUGUGUCAGCUGAAUGCCAAGCUGGGCGGGAUUACUUAGGUUUACGGUAGGGGUGGAGCUUGAGUCAACUCCUUUUCCACCAAGGAGCAUUUCUUUCUAGCUGUCAUUGAAGUGAUUCAUCAGGAUAAGUAGCCAGCUUGGAGCAUUCAUCCUCAGUUGUGUUAAAACUUGCUGGGGUUCCCCGAGAACCAGCAGAGUUGUGUGCUGGCAGCAUUUCAACACAGAGAAGGAGAAGACAGACCAGAGCCCAAGGGUCCUAGGGUCGUCGAGGUGGAUUUCCAGCUGUGCUACCGGAACACUAGCCCAAUCUGACACCUUCCGGCAGGAGAGGUGGCUUGUUUUCCGUGAGCCUUGAGGACAAUUAUAGUGAUCCAUACGUGG